rnacentral:rRNA from 1 species
UAAUACAGAGGGGGCAAGCGUUAUUCGGAAUUAUUGGGCGUAAAGGGCGCGUAGGCGGCUUGGCAAGUGGAUGGUGAAAUCCCUCGGCUUAACCGAGGAACUGCCAUCCAGACUGCUUUGCUUGAGGCCGGGAGAGGUAAGUGGAAUUCCCAGUGUAGCGGUGAAAUGCGUAGAUAUUGGGAGGAACACCAGUGGCGAAGG